rnacentral:rRNA from 1 species
AUACCAGCUGAUCCUGCUGGCGGGCACUGCUAUUGAAAUCCGACUCAAACAUGCAAGUCUAACAGUUUAAGCUAUGAUAAACUGUGGCAAACGGCUCAGUAACAUGUAGUCAACCUACCUUCAAGAAAAGUAAACCCCGGGAAACUGGGACUAAUGCUUUAUAGGCAACAAAUACUGGAAGGUUUUAUUGCCCAAAGAACUACAUUCAUGCUUGUAGUUCACUUGAAGACGGGACUGCAGUGGAUUAGGUUGUUGGCGGGGUAACUGCCCACCAAGCCGAAGAUCCAUACGGGCCUUGAGAGAGGGAGCCCGGAGAAGGGAACUGAGAUAAGGUCCCUAGCCCUACGGGGUGCAGCAGUUGCGAAUUCUCUACAAUGCGCGAAAGCGUGAUAGGGGGAUUUCAAGUGCAAGCUCUGCUUGCUUUUGUAUAGUCUAAACCGCUAUACGAAUAAAUGGAGGGUAAGAUACGUGCCAGCCGCCGCGGUAAUACGUACUCCAUAAGUGGUGCCCACUAAUAUUGGGCCUAAAGCGCCUGUAGCCGGUCUAAAAAGUUUUUGGUGAAAUCUGCAGGCUCAACUUGCAGGAGUGCCAGAAAUACUCUUAGACUCGAGACCGGGAGAAGUCAAAGGAAUUCCUGAGGUAGCGGUGAAAUGCUAUGAUCUUAGGAGGACCACCAGUAGCGAAGGCGUUUGACUAGAACGGAUCUGACGGUGAGAGACGAAGGCUGGGGGAUCGACCCGGAUUAGAUAUGGGAUUGGAAAGAGAUAAAAACUUCAAAGCACUAAUAAUAAUAUGAAACAAGUGUUAGAACUCCGGUUAAAAGAAUUUCUGGACAAACAUCCUGAAAUUUACAAAAUCGGAAAAACAUUCAGACACAAAAAUUCAAGCCAUGAAAUAAAGCUUCCAAAAAAGUUUUCACCUGAAUUGUGCAGGCUUUUAGGAAUAAUUCAUGGCGAUGGCAAUAUGUCUUAUGACAGAAUUGUUAUAACUGAUAAAUGCCUUGAAUACCAUAUUAUUAUCCAAGACUUGUUUGAAAAAGUCUUUUCUGUGAAACCAAACUUAUUUCACGACAAGAAAAGGCACACUUACUAUUCUCAUAUUAAGAGAAUGGUAGUCUACAAGUUUUUGGUUGAAGUGCUUGAGGUCCCGAAGGGUUCUAUAAGAAGAAGACUGUCGACAACGUCCUAUAUGAAUUUAUGGGACAAAAAACUAAAGUCAUCUUAUCUUGGAGGACUCUUUGAUUCAGAGGGCCAUGUCGGAAAAAAGCAAGCAAAAAUUUCUUUUACAAUAACAUCAAAAGAAAUUUUUGAUUUUGUAAAAAAUUUUCUUUUAGAAAAUGGAAUCAAAGUUUCUGAGUAUAAAAGAAAACGGCAUGAAAAACCUGAAUAUGAAAUCUAUAUAUAUGGCAAACAAAAUAUUCAGGAAAUGCUAAAGUUUGUCAAAUUUUAUCAUCCUGAUAAAGUAUCUCGUCUGAAACUCUUUUCAUCCCACUAAUUACCCGGUUAGUCCCAGCAGUAAACGAUGCAGACUAGGUGUCCUAGCAGCUACAGGCUGUAGGGGUGCCGAAGGGAAGCCGUUAAGUCUGCCGCCUGGGAAGUACGGCCGCAAGACUGAAACUUAAUGGAAUUGGCGGGGGCGCACUACAAGGGGUGGAUGCUGCGGUUCAAUUGGAUACGACGCCAGAUAAUUCACCAGGGGUGACAGCAGAAUGAUGGACAGUCUGAAGGGCUUUCCUGACGCGCUGAGAGGUGUUGUAUGGUCAUCGUCAGCUCGUACUAUGAAGCGUCCUGUCAACUCAGGCAACGGGCGAGACCCACGUUCAUAGUUGCUAUUUUCCUUUUAGGAGGAGCACUCUAUGAAGACUGCGAGGGCAACCUUGAGGAAGGGGUGGGCAACGAUAGAUCAGUAUGGCCCGAAUCUCCUGGGCAACACGCGGCAUACAAUGGUUAAGACAAUGGGCUCCGAACCCGAAAGGGCAAGGCAAUCUCUUAAACUUAACCUCAGUUCGGAUUGAGGCCUGUAACUCGGCCUCAUGAAGUUGGAAUCCCCAGUAAUCGGAAGUCAUUAUCUUCCGGUGAAUAAGUCCCUGCGCCUUGCACACACCGCCCAUCAAGCCAGCUGAAUGGGGUCUGGAUGAAAAUUAACUUCUUGGUUGAUUUGAUUCUAGUUUCUGUAAAGCGGGCUAAGUUGUAACAAGGUGUCCGUAGGGGAACCUGCGGACGGAUCACCUCCU